GAUGUGGCGCAGUGGUUAGUACGACUGCCUGCGACGCAGAAGGUUCCGGGUUUAAUUCCCGGUGACCAUUG